UACGUAGGUGACAAGCGUUGUCCGGAUUUACUGGGCGUAAAGAGCGCGCAGGCGGUCGAUCAAGUCGAGUGUGAAAGCCCCCGGCUCAACUGGGGAGGGUCAUUCGAAACUGGUCGACUCGAAGGCAGGGGAGGGUAGUGGAAUUCCCGGUGUAGUGGUGAAAUGCGUAGAUAUCGGGAGGAACACCAGUGGCGAAGGCGACUACCUGGCCUGUUUCUUGACGCUGAGGCGCGAAAGCUAGGGGAGCAAACGGG
rnacentral:rRNA from 1 species